rnacentral:rRNA from 1 species
UGGCUCAGGAUGAACGCUAGCUACAGGCUUAACACAUGCAAGUCGAGGGGCAGCAUCAUCAAGCUUGCUUUGAUGGAUGGCGACCGGCGCACGGGUGAGUAACACGUAUCCAACCUGCCGACAACACUGGGAUAGCCUUUCCGAAAGAAAGAUUAAUACCGGAUGGCAUAGUUUUCCCGCAUGGGAUAAUUAUUAAGAAUUUCGGUUGUCGAUGGGGAUGCGUUCCAUUAGGCAGUUGGCGGGGUAACGGCCCACCAACCAACGAUGGAUAGGGGUUCUGAGAGGAAGGUCCCCCACAUUGGAACUGAGACACGGUCCAAACUCCUACGGGAGGCAGCAGUGAGGAAUAUUGGUCAAUGGACGAGAGUCUGAACCAGCCAAGUAGCGUGAAGGAUGACUGCCCUAUGGGUUGUAAACUUCUUUUAUACGGGAAUAAAGUGAGGCACGUGUGCCUUUUUGUAUGUACCGUAUGAAUAAGGAUCGGCUAACUCCGUG